GAUCCUUCGCCCCUCAAGCCUGCUACGCCCCACCCACACAACCCUAAAAUCCCUCCGAGGUUGCAUAGAAAUCAUGUGUGUGCGUUAGUGUGUGUGUAUCCGACUGUGUAUAUAUACUUAUGCGGAGAGAGAACCAAGAAGCACUCAGUCGGCACAAGGCACAAUGAUGUUACUGGCAGGAGUCCUCACGUGCAUGUUGCUUGCCAGCAACAGCUGCGCCGAGGAGCAGCAGCAGACGCAGGAAGGCCCAUUAAAUCUCGAGAAAACUGAACUAAAAGAAAAACUGCUCUUCUACAAGACCUCAACCACCGUUACUUACAACGCCAUCUCAUACAUAACCAGCGUCAUUCCCUUGACCUGUUACUUAAGUUA